rnacentral:rRNA from 1 species
AUUGAACGCUAGCGGGAUGCCUUACACAUGCAAGUCGAACGGCAGCACGGACUUCGGUCUGGCGGCGAGUGGCGAACGGGUGAGUAAUGUAUCGGAACGUGCCCAGUAGCGGGGGAUAACUACGCGAAAGCGUAGCUAAUACCGCAUACGUCCUGCGGGGGAAAGCAGGGGAUCGCAAGACCUUGCACUAUUGGAGCGGCCGAUAUCCGAUUAUCUAGUUGGUGAGGUAAUGGCUCACCAAGGCCGCGAUCCGUAGCUGGUUUGAGAGGACGACCAGCCACACUGGGACUGGGACACGGCCCAGACUCCUACGGGAGGCAGCAGUGGGGAAUUUUGGACAAUGGGGGAAACCCUGAUCCAGCCAUCCCGCGUGUGCGAUGAAGGCCUUCGGGUUGUAAAGCACUUUUGGCAGGAAAGAAACGGCGCGUGUUAAUACCAUGCGCAACUGACGGUACCUGCAGAAUAAGCACCGGCUAACUACGUGCCAGCAGCCGCAGUAA